CGUACCCGGUCAACUCGCUCAGACCUGACGAGCGAAGCGGUCAGACCGGAGGUAAUAUCUGCGUGGCUUUUCAACGAUAGUGACAACUGAGGAACACCAAGGGGCUGACUCACCGUGGUGGCUUUAUUUCUGCUGGACAGUUCUACUGUGCCCUCAGGUCACCUGCAGAUUUGGAGUCUUCUAACACCCUGUGCUUCUCACCAGUACACUGAUCAGACCAUGCUGGAUGGCCUGGAUUACAACCACCGUGGAGAAAAGCUGAUGACACAGUUCAGUACAGCAAGUUGUACAACAAAAAGUCCAGGAAGUGGAUUGAAGGUGGAGAAGGACUAC